rnacentral:rRNA from 1 species
UACCAGCACCCCGAGUUGUCGGGACGAUUAUUGGGCCUAAAGCAUCCGUAGCCGGUUCUACAAGUCUUCCGUUAAAUCCACCUGCUUAACAGAUGGGCUGCGGAGGAUACUAUGGAGCUAGGAGGCGGGAGAGGCAAGCGGUACUUAGUGGGUAGGGGUAAAAUCCGUUGAUCCAUUGAAGACCACCAGUGGCGAAGGCGGCUUGCCAGAACGCACUCGACGGUGAGGGAUGAAAGCUGGGGGAGCAAACCGG